UACUAGAGUAGCACUUGCAUAUCAAUAAGCGGAGGAAAAGAAACUAACAAGGAUUCCCCUAGUAACGGCGAGUGAAGCGGGAAGAGCUCAAAUUUGAAAUCUUAAAGGGUUUCCCUUUACGAAUUGUAGUUUAAAGAAGUGUUUUCUGUUGAGGUUUUGGUAAAAGUUCUUUGGAAUAGGACAUCAUAGAGGGUGAGAAUCCCGUAUUUGACCUUUACUUUCAACUUUGUGAUACACUUUCAAAGAGUCGGAUUGUUUGGGAAUGCAGUCCAAAAUGGGUGGUAAAUUUCAUCUAAAGCUAAAUAUUGGCGAGAGACCGAUAGCGAACAAGUACCGUGAGGGAAAGAUGAAAAGAACUUUGAAAAGAGAGUUAAACAGUACGUGAAAUUGUCAAAAGGGAAGCGUUUGGACACCAGUGUUGUUUUUCUGAAAAUCAAUUAAAGAACUGUUUAUGCUAAGCUGUUUAGACUUUAUCAGCUAACUGUUUAGUUUUGAGCUUUUCUUUAAUGCACUUUUCAGCUAACAAGUCAACAUCAAUUUCUUUUGCUGUAAAAAAGCUUGAGGAAGGUGGCUUGAGAUUCGUCUUAAGUGUUUAUAGCCUCUUGCCUAUGCAGUCGGAGAGAUUGAGGUCUGCAGCGUAGAUCCUUCGGGGCUAAAUGCAUUUGUGCUAAGUUAUAGCAUUUUAUAGACAACUUGUUGACUAUGAUUUGUCUUGUAGCUUACUCGCUUAUGUUAUUUUACCUACGCUUAGGAUGUUAAUCUCUCACAGUCGAGC
rnacentral:rRNA from 1 species